AUAUUUUUUUUAGGGAUUCAUUGUUAUCGUUCUUUGUCUCUUCCACUUCUCCGUCUCCGUUAAUCUUUGACUCUAGAGACAAUGGAUGCUUCUCCAACUCUUAGCAUCCCCUAUCAUUCAAUGGAUUUCUCUUAAUUUUUCGCAAAAAGCAAUCGUUUCAAAGCGAAAGGCAGAGAGAAAACGUUAACGGCAGAGCCCGACCCCUUCUUAUUCUUCGUGAAAAAGCUUCUGAAGCCUAGAAAAAGGAAGCAUCUUUAUAUUAAAUCUACGAGAUUUUUCAUCAGGUAAAUGACCCUAAAGCGAGCUUCUUUCACGUCUUCCCUUUUCAUCGUCUCAUCGUUCCAGCUCCAUAUCUAUCACCCUCCCCCAUUCUCUGUUCAUCUCAAAGGCCGGAAACGCUCUUGAUGCUGCAGAGCGUAUUAGCCGUGAAGCUGAACGCCGAGGCUGUCCUGCGUCUAUUGUCUCCAACGACGAAUUCGACUCGAGUUCCUUACCUCAUGAGGACGCUAUUCUUUUUGUUGUAUCCACUACAGGGCAAGGAGACUCUCCAGAUUCUUUUAAGGUUUGUUGUCAAUUUUCAAAUCACUGAAGGAGUUUUGGAGGUUUCUUCUUCAAAGAAACUUGGGAAACUCUUGGUUGCAACGAGUUUGCUUUGCAGUGUUUGGGCUAGGUGAUUCAGGUUACCAGAAGUACAAUUUUGUAACAAAGAAGCUAGACAAAAGAUUACUAGAUCUUGGGGCCACAACCAUCAUCGAGAAAGGUCUAGGAGAUGAUCAACACCCAUCAUGGUAUGAAGCAAUAUGUUGUCUUUGUGGAGUAUUUUAUAUCAAAUCAAGCCCAUAUACUUUCCUAAUGGUCCAGAAGUGGUGAUUCUUGACAUAUUUGUUGAUUGGUGUUAUUUGAGAAGGAUCAUUGAUUACUCCCUGAAAAAAAACUCGAGCUUUCAGAUUACCGGAAUUAAUACAUCGUUUUACUUCAAUCGAUGGGAGCAGUGGCUGCGUGGCUUGCUACAGAGAACCCAGAUCAACUAAAACUUCUCUAAAUGAUCCACUUUCCAAUUCUGUAGCUCAAACGGUUAAGAAACCGAGCGUCUCUGAAAAAUUCUGGUCAACAAGCACAUUUGAUAUGGACAACAUCACCUUUCCUUCUCAAGGAGGAAGCAUAUCAUCCAGCUAGACUUUUGAAUCUCAAUCUGCUUCCAGAAACUCAAAUCCCCUGCCUGAGUUUGUAAACCAAGGCCUUCUUCUUUGGAAUCAGACAAGUGAGCUUUGUGUGGGAAAAGAAAGACCUAAUACAACCCACCGGAUCACAAUCAAGGAUCCAAGAUAAAUUGGAACGCAGCAUCGUAUGAUAGCCUUAAGAACGCUGAAGUAAUGAGUCCACUGAUCAUCGUCUCCCAUUGUCCCCAUGAUGGAGGUCUACUUUUCUUUAUGGGACGAAGCUGCAUCAAUGUUUAGGGGUCUCCUUAAUUCAGGGGAUAGAACUUAAUCUGUCAAUGUGGUCACAAGUGUGAUCCCAAAAAAAUUGGAGGAGCUGCAUUAUGGAAUGGUGCAGUGAGAAGCAAGAAUGCCCAUUUUGUCGUACACCCAACACUCACUCGAGUUUAUUUUGUUUGUACAACUCUGAUUUUUAAGCUCAACUGAAGAUCAACAAGGACACAACGGUGCAAAAAAACAUGAAAAGCAAAGGAACCCACACCAGCUUCUUUAGUGACAACUUGGGACAAUAACAUAUUCUACAAGAAUGACAUCUGUUUUGUCUUAAGACAUGGAAGUAAGAUCAUCAAGUACUGAGAAAACACCAAGAGAGAUUUGAGGGUUGAUUAUGUUAUGAAUUAAAAUAGUGUUCACGACCCCGCGCAAGCCUCUGCCCCUAGUAUAUUGUAAUAUACAAGUCUAAUAAGUAUUUCUUUUAAGUAUC